AAAUAGCCGCCGGAAGAACGGGUAUCAUUGAUGUUGAUAAUCAUGAGGUAUACUUUUACAGCCUCGCUAUUUU
rnacentral:tRNA from 1 species